rnacentral:lncRNA from 10 species
UGGGCAGCUCACCAGAGAGGCCAGAGGAGGCGGCAGGAAGGUGGGGUCUCUCCAGCCAGGGGCUUCCUGAAAGAGCUGCCUUCUGAGCAGGCCCCCCAGGCUAGGAAGAUGUGCACCUGCCGAGCUGGGCAGGAGAGGGUGGCCCAGUGGAGGACCCAGCAUGGGCAGAGGUUUGGAGGUGGCAGGUCCUGAGGGAAGCGGAAGGCAGCCAGGUUGUGACAGCCUGUGAGGACCUCUUGGCUCCCGGAGCCUUCUCUCUCCUGGAAUAGAGAUGACACCGUGCUGCCAUUGAACUCAACCCGAAAAAAUGAUCUGUUGCAAAGCUCACAGGAAAUAAUGGAGCAAUGUUACACGAUAAACUGUAAAGUGUGGUGAGCAUGUGAACAAGCGUCCAGGACCCAGCGAAGCCCCAGGCUACUGGGCUAGGCGUCAGAUGAGAAGAGGCAGAGGGCAACCUCCUGUAGGAUCUGAGGCCUUCAUGUGCUCAGCCCAUGGCUGUCGUCACGGUGACGUGUGCAUGCGAUGUAUCUGGGCCAUCCUUGUUCUUGAACGCGGGCAGUGAGUCCCACGGUGAUGUGGCAUGUCACGAGCUGAAGGAGGGGCACCUGCAUUCAGGCUUGCGAACCAGCGAGACAGCCUUUGGACCUUUCGGAGCCUCACUUUCCCACACUAAGAAUUGGAGUGGAAUUCCCAAGGUGCUGGAGGUUGAAAGGCAUUGAGAAUCUAAAACGCUUUGCAGACAGCAAGACCCUCUGUGUAAGUUAAGAAUGCUCACUCAGUCCCAGCAGGUACUCAGAGGGAUCCUUUUAUUUCUCCAGAACAUUCUGCAGGAGAGGGGACCUGUGGAAUGUAGUUGAGUCCUGAGGGUGCGGCCCCGUGAUGAAAUUAGUGGCCUGAUAAGAAGAGGCCCAGAGAACCGGCUCUGUCUCUGCUCUCUGUCGCACGAGGACCCCACAAGAAGACGGCCACCUGCAAACAGCCAUUGAAUCUGCCAGUGACUUGGUCGUGGAGUUCCAGCCUCCAGAACUGUGAGAAAUAAAUGUUUGCGAUUUAAACCGCACAGUCUGUGGUGUUGUGUUGGCAGUCUGAACUGACGGAGACAGCAUCUG